CCUACGGGAGGCAGCAGUGGGGAAUAUUGCACAAUGGGGGAAACCCUGAUGCAGCGACGCCGCGUGAGUGAAGAAGUAAUUCGGUAUGUAAAGCUCUAUCAGCAUGGAAGAAAAUGACGGUACCUGAGUAAGAAGCCCCGUCUAACUACGUGACAGCAGCCGCGGUAAUACGUAGGGGGCAAGCGUUAUCCGGAUUUACUGGGUGUAAAGGGAACGUAGACGGCAGUGCAAGUCUGGAGUGAAAGGCGGGGGCUCAACCCCCGGACUGCUCUGGAAACUGUACGGUUGGAGUGCAGGAGAGGUAAGUGGAAUUCCUAGUGUAGCGGUGAAAUGCGUAGAUAUUAGGAGGAACACCAGUGGCGAAGGCGGCUUACUGGACUGUAACUGACGUUGAGGCUCGAAAGCGUGGGGAGCAAACAGGAUUAGAUACCCUGGUAGUC
rnacentral:rRNA from 1 species